rnacentral:rRNA from 1 species
UCUACCUACGGGGGGCAGCAGUGAGGAAUAUUGGUCAAUGGCCGAAGGGCUGAACCAGCCAAGCCGCGUGAAGGAAUAAGGCCCUACGGGUCGUAAACUUCUUUAGUCAGGGAACAAAGGGUGCCACGCGUGGCGCUGUGAGUGUACCUGAAGAAUAAGCAUCGGCUAACUCCGUGCCAGCAGCCGCGGUAAUACGGAGGAUGCGAGCGUUAUCCGGAUUUAUUGGGUUUAAAGGGUGCGUAGGCGGUCCGGAAAGUCAGCGGUAAAAGCCCGGGGCUCAACCCCGGCGAGCCGUUGAAACUGUG